rnacentral:rRNA from 1 species
UACGUAGGGGGCGAGCGUUGUCCGGAAUCAUUGGGCGUAAAGCGCGUGUAGGCGGCCCGGUAAGUCCGCUGUGAAAGUCCAGGGCUCAACCCUGGGAUGCCGGUGGAUACUGUCGGGCUCGAGUCCGGAAGAGGCGAGUGGAAUUCCUGGUGUAGCGGUGAAAUGCGCAGAUAUCAGGAGGAACACCGAUUGCGAAGGCAGCUCGCUGGAACGUUACUGACGCUGAGACGCGAAAGCGUGGGGAGCAAACAGG